rnacentral:lncRNA from 1 species
AAUGCCAUAUGUGGAUUUCUCCUAAAUUGAUCUCAUUGCUAAGCAAAAGAAAGCUUAGUAUCAUCUAGGAAGCAUUCUAAUAAGGUUUCCAAGCUUCUAGAACCAUCCCUAGGGCAUCUACUUUGAGCCAUAGUGAUCCACCAUGAGAGCACCUCAAGAAAACCAUGGAUUUCAUGGAUUCAAGGCUCUUAGAGGGUUUCUAGGUUAAUUAGAGGAUCAAAUCUCUAAAUCCCAAGGUUUAAAACCAAACCCUAAACUAAAAAGGUAAAUAAACUCACCUUUGCCCAAGCCCUAGCAAGCUACUUCUUGUUGGAGAGCUUCUAGGUCCACCAAAAUCCACCAAAAUCCCUCUCCAUAGCUUCUUCUCCACCUUCUCCACCAAACCCUAGAGGGAUUCUAGAGAAAGAAAGAGAGGAAAA